AAAUUGAAGAGUUUGAUCAUGGCUCAGAUUGAACGCUGGCGGCAGGCCUAACACAUGCAAGUCGAACGGUAGCAGGAAGCAGCUUGCUGCUUUGCUGACGAGUGGCGGACGGGUGAGUAAUGUCUGGGAAACUGCCUGAUGGAGGGGGAUAACUACUGGAAACGGUGGCUAAUACCGCAUAACGUCGCAAGACCAAAGAGGGGGACCUUCGGGCCUCUUGCCAUCAGAUGUGCCCAGAUGGGAUUAGCUAGUUGGUGAGGUAACGGCUCACCAAGGCGACGAUCCCUAGCUGGUCUGAGAGGAUGACCAGCCACACUGGAACUGAGACACGGUCCAGACUCCUACGGGAGGCAGCAGUGGGGAAUAUUGCACAAUGGGCGCAAGCCUGAUGCAGCCAUGCCGCGUGUAUGAAGAAGGCCUUCGGGUUGUAAAGUACUUUCAGCGGGGAGGAAGGUGUUGUGGUUAAUAACCGCAGCAAUUGACGUUACCCGCAG
rnacentral:rRNA from 1 species